AUUGAACGCUGGCGGCAUGCUUUACACAUGCAAGUCGGACGAGUGGCGAACGGGUGAGUAACAUAUCGGAACGUAGCGAAUAAUGGGGGAUAACUAAUCGAAAGCUUAGCUAAUACCGCAUAUUAUUCGAGCGGCCGAUAUCUGAUUAGCUGGUGGGUGGGGUAAAGGCCUACCAAGGCGACGAUGAGUAGCGGGUCUGAGAGGAUGAUCCGCCAAACUGGGACUGAGACACGGCCCAGACUCCUACGGGAGGCAGCAGUGGGGAAUGUUGGACAAUGGGCGAAAGUCUGACCCAGCCAUGCCGCGUGUGUGAAGAAGGCCUUCGGGUUGUAAAGCACUUUUGUCAGGGAAGCGGUACCUGAAGAAUAAGCCCCGGCUAACUACGUACCAGCAGCCGCGGUAAUUC
rnacentral:rRNA from 1 species